rnacentral:rRNA from 1 species
GAUGAACGCUGGCGGCGUGCCUAAUACAUGCAAGUCGAGCGAACAGACGAGGAGCUUGCUCCUCUGACGUUAGCGGCGGACGGGUGAGUAACACGUGGAUAACCUACCUAUAAGACUGGGAUAACUUCGGGAAACCGGAGCUAAUACCGGAUAAUAUAUUGAACCGCAUGGUUCAAUAGUGAAAGACGGUUUUGCUGUCACUUAUAGAUGGAUCCGCGCCGCAUUAGCUAGUUGGUAAGGUAACGGCUUACCAAGGCGACGAUGCGUAGCCGACCUGAGAGGGUGAUCGGCCACACUGGAACUGAGACACGGUCCAGACUCCUACGGGAGGCAGCAGUAGGGAAUCUUGCGCAAUGGGCGAAAGCCUGACGGAGCAACGCCGCGUGAGUGAUGAAGGUCUUCGGAUCGUAAAACUCUGUUAUUAGGGAAGAACAAAUGUGUAAGUAACUAUGCACGUCUUGACGGUACCUAAUCAGAAAGCCACGGCUAACUACGUG